ensembl:snoRNA
GCAUGGGUUUCGGUUUACGGCAGACUCACACCCUGGAUCUCUCCUAGUUCCCCAUACCAGAGUACACUGGUCCUGGGCCAUCGCCUGGCCUCAGCCUGGAGGCUGCUGGCACAGAGCAGGUUACACAGUG